rnacentral:rRNA from 1 species
AGCGAACGUUAGCGGCGGGCCUAACACAUGCAAGUCGAACGGUCAGUAGCAAUACUGGCAGUGGCGCACGGGUGCGUAACGCGUAGAUAAUCUACCUCUCAGCGGGGGAUAACUAAGGGAAACUUUAGCUAAUACCGCAUAAGACCACGGCCUCGCGAGGGGCUGAGGGAAAAGACGGCCUCUGCAUAUGCUGUCACUGGGAGAUGAGUCUGCGUCCCAUCAGCUAGUUGGUAAGGUAAUGGCUUACCAAGGCAUAGACGGGUAGCUGGUCUGAGAGGAUGAUCAGCCACACUGGCACUGGAACACGGGCCAGACUCCUACGGGAGGCAGCAGUGGGGAAUAUUGGGCAAUGGGCGAAAGCCUGACCCAGCCACGCCGCGUGAGUGAUGAAGGCC